rnacentral:rRNA from 1 species
CCUACGGGAGGCAGCAGUGAGGAAUAUUGGUCAAUGGACGAGAUUCUGAACCAGCCAAGCAGCGUGAAGGAUGAAUGCACUAUGGAUCGUAAACCUCUUUUAUCUGGGAAUAAAACAGGGUAUGCAUACCCUCUUGUAUGUACCUUAAGAAUAAGGAUCGGCUAACUCCGUGCCAGCAGCCGCGGUAAUACGGAGGAUCCGAGCGUUAUCCGGAUUUAUUGGGUUUAAAGGGAGCGUAGGGGGAUUGUUAAGUCAGUUGUGAAAGUUUGCGGCUCAACCGGAGAAUUGCAGUUGAAACUGGCAGUCUUGAGUACAGUAGAGGUGUGCGGAAUGCGUGGUGUAGCGGUGAAAUGCGUAGAUAUCACGAAGAACUCCGAUUGCGAAGGCAGCUCACUGGACUGCAACUGACACUGAGGCUCGAAAGUGUGGGUAUCAAACAGGAUUAGAUACCCCAGUAGUC